rnacentral:ncRNA from 2 species
UUGAAGAGAAGCGUUUCAGGUGCCUUUACAAGGAGAAUAGGGAAUCCGGUUUAAAUCCGGAACGGGCCCGCCACUGUAAUGAAUAGUGCUUUUUAUUUAGCCACUUCCACUGGAGGGAAGGCAAGAAGCAUGUUAUGUCAAAGCCAGGAGACCUGCCUGAAAUCAAUCAUCUUU